ACUACUUCGCAACAUUCAUGACUUUUUCUCUCUCCAACCGAUUUUCACGGAGUCUCAUUCUAAAACACAAAUUACAAUUUACUUACACCAGUGAGUGUUGGGGUAAUCAAUCUUCUGCAAGGCAAACCGCCAGCUCGAAAAAUCGCUUUAGCCGUGCUGAUGUGGGCAACAGAAGCCAUGUGGGUUAUUUUAAAAAGAAAAUUAUACUCUUCUGAAUAAGGCAAAUUUUACGGGGAUACGGACAAUUAUCACCGUUACAAGUAGUAAACACUGAGAUGACGAACAACCUAUCGGAAACCUGAGGAUGGAACGAAAUGGAGAAAACUACAAAACCGAUAAGAAAAUUGAAAAAAACAGUUUUGUGUAUUUUAUUUAUCCAAAAGAAAGAUGGUUUGCAAGUGCUCACUUCGGUAGACCGGUGGUUAUGAGACUGAUGGAACGGGACAAUAACUACGGCAAAGAUAGCAGGUACAAGGGGAGGACUCUGAACAAAGUGGAAACAACGUACUUCACAAACGAUUUACGAAAUUUACCUAAAAUAAGAGAAUUUGAUACAAAACAAAGCCUUUUCCAUUCAAAAUUGGAAAACGCACAAGAAUUACACGAUCUUAAGAGUAUAUGGUAGAAAGUAGAAUUGAGUUUCACUGAAUACGCGUAUACACCGGCAUUCAUUCCGCGUUACUAUUUGUUACCCAGGUUGCGUAAGGUUGUGAGCUUUAAGAUAAAGAUGCGUUACAGUUCAGUAUAUAGAAUAAGGAUUUAUGUAAGGGUGCAUAAAAAAGGUAGUAGGUGAGUACACAAUUCAUUGGUAUAGCAGGAAGAAGAGGAGAAGGAUGAAGAAGAAAAAGAGGUUGCUCAGAUA